rnacentral:rRNA from 1 species
GGAUGCGAUCAUACCAGCACUAAUAUCCCAUCAGAACUCCGAAGUUAAGCGUGCUUGGCGAGAGUAGUACUAGGAUGGGUGACCCCUGGGAAGUCCUCGUGUUGCAUCCC